AAGAAGGUAGCAUAAAUAAGUGCAGCUUAUUUACACUAAGUUAGUAGAAGAACUUCUCUUUCUUA
rnacentral:tRNA from 1 species